rnacentral:pre_miRNA from 1 species
AGUGGAAUUGUUGAAACAUAUGGCAAUUCUGUUUAAUUUUUUGAGGAAUCACCAUACUAUUUUUCAUAGUGGCUACACUAUUUUACAUUUCCAUCAGCAAU